CUUGGUUUAUGCGCCUGGCUGAAGGAGACACCCAUGGCCUUGCAGAGGGAUCGGUCUGGUGGGAAAGCAGGCACGACCCACCCCAGGCCCGUGGUUUCCCUGCAACAAGUCCAGUGGCUUUCUGGGGGACACUUUUCCUGAAGAAGUGAUUCAAGAGCAGCAUAAGCCAGGUACUAUGGAAUGUUGGGUGAGAUGACUUGAGGACCUACAAGGCCUGCCCCACAGUCUUCCAGCCUCCGACUCUCCAGCCCUCGGCGUGGAAGUCCCACUGCUUUUUUUUUCCCCCAUUCCUGUCUAGGGAACCUUCCCCAACCGUGUAGUGAAGAUGGGUGGAGCUGUCGCACCAGCUGUUAGCGUGCUUGGCUGAGAGGAGAGGAGGCAAGGAGGAGCAGAGUGAGGAGGGAGCGACCACCCAGCUUUCGUCGGUUUAUAGCAGUUCCUGACCCUAGGAGAAGGGAAAUGUAAAGGAAGACUCAGUUGACUUGGUGUGAAGUUUAAAUGCCCCUUGGAGACUUAGGGGUCGAGGACGGGUUCCCUCCCUCCCAACGCUGAUUUCCUGUGGGCCACAUUCCAGCACAUUGGAGGGCCAGAGCUCAGGGAACAGACCAGCAGCACCGCAAGUCUCCAAGGAAAGUUCCAGUAGUCUCCAGGGGCUGAAGGCAGGACUGGGGAAGCGGCUAGCCGGGCUGCAGAAAUCAAAUGCUCCCAGACUGCUGUCCAGCACGCAUCGCAUCUGCCUUCCUAACCAAGUUUCCUGGGCUCCGGCCACAGAUCCUGACAUCCUGCCCUCUGUGCUCUGGGAGGACCCAGGAAGGAUGCUUAGCCUUGGCUCCUUGUCUGCUGGUGGAGGGGACACACACCUUUUUCUGGACCACAGACCAAAAAGAAGACCUGAUGUCAUCCUGAGCACCCCUGCCAUGCAGAGUGUGUUCACAGACUGCCAAUGGGCUGGCUCCAGCCAGCAGAAGUGAACUGAGGUAGAGGUUCAGCCUGGCAGCUUCUCCCCAAAGCCAUGGAGAGAGAACCUUACCCACUCCACCCCCCAGCUACUUCCAGCAAGUCGUCCAGCCUGACCCAUCUAUUUCCCCUGUUGUCUCUCAGCUGGGUCCCCGAGACCCACCCUACCUCCAAUAAAGAACAUUGCAUACUGCG
rnacentral:lncRNA from 1 species